UUAUGAUCAGUAUCCGGUUAGUUCUUGCUCUCCUGGUAGACAGAUUUGGUAGCGUUGUGUUAUUAAAUUUUAAAAUAUAAUCUUUUGUUUGGAGAGCUCCUUGAAAGAAAAAAGCACACAAACUUAAGUUACCUGAAAAAAAGAUAUAUGAACUUGAGUUACCUGGAAAAAAAUGUGCACACUUUGAAUGAUUGCAGAAACCAAGUUAACAGUUAGCGUGGUUAGACUAUUUUUUCCGCAUAACAAUACUGUGUAGGAAUUUAAUUAGAAUCUAUAAUUUUUGGAAAUCUCAAUUAAAUCUAAAGAAACUGUAAAACAACCAAGGUUGCACCAACACUGUCAUUCGCAUUCUGUUAUCCGUAGGUUAAAUACUUAAGUAACCACAGCAUAAUUUCCAGAAUCUUUCAUUUUUCAUUACCUGUCUCUACUUUUUAAAUCCUUUGUGAGACAGAAUUCAG
rnacentral:misc_RNA from 1 species